rnacentral:rRNA from 1 species
AUAGGAGGUCCCGCCUGCCCUGUGACUAGAAGUUUAACGGCCGCGGUAUUUUAACCGUGCAAAGGUAGCGCAAUCAAUUGUCUUUUAAAUGAAGACCUGUAUGAAUGGCAUCACGAGGGUUUAACUGUCUCUUUCUCCCGAUCAGUGAAACUGAUCUGCCCGUGCAGAAGCGGGCAUAACCCCACAAGACGAGAAGACCCUAUGGAGCUUUAGGCUUUUUACCAGCUGCAAGAAGCGCGCACACAGCCUGCGUUCACCCUCCGCAAUAUUGGAUUAAAUGCCUUCGGUUGGGGCGACCACGGGAGAUAGAGAAGCUCCCGAGUGGAUUGGGGGAAACUCCAGAGCUCAGAGGAACCCCUCUAAGCAACAGAAAAUCUGACCUUCAAUGAUCCGGCCAAGGCCGAUCAACGGACCAAGUUACCCUAGGGAUAACAGCGCAAUCCCCUCCCAGAGUCCAUAUCGACGAGGGGGUUUACGACCUCGAUGUUGGAUCAGGACAUCCUAAUGGUGCAGACGCUAUUAAGGGUUCGUUUGUUCAACGAUUAAAGUCCUACGUGAUCUGAGUUCAGACCGGAGUAAUCCAGGUCAGUUUCUAUCUGUGA